GGGUCAGUAGGUUGGUCGUGCCACCGGUACGUACUGGUCUCACUGAUUCCUCCUUCCUGAAGAACCGUAAUGCCAUUAAUUUGGUGUUGCGGGGAAACAGGACUGUUACUUUGAAAAAAUUAGAGUGUUUAGAGCAAGCUAACGCUUGAAUACAUUAGCAUGGAAUAAUGAAAUAGGACGAUCGAUCCUAUUUUGUUGGUUGAUAGGAUUGACGUA
rnacentral:rRNA from 1 species